rnacentral:lncRNA from 1 species
GGUAUGGUUGCUCACAAUGUGACUGCUGGAGUUUGACUGACACAUAAACAUAAGCUCAUUGAGUUCUUAUAGUGGAUGUUGGUGACAGUUGAUCUACUGUAGAAGUAAGGUAUGCAUCUAGAUGGAAUCUAUCGAUUUUGAUAGAAAGGAGUAGUCUUAUGGAAUUUAAAAAGCAAAGUCUGUAAGUCUGUGACUACAGCAGCAUGAUUGAUG